AGUGAACGCUGGCGGUAGGCCUAACACAUGCAAGUCGAACGGAAGCACAGUAAGAGCUUGCUCUUAAGGGUGGCGAGUGGCGGACGGGUGAGGAAUACAUCGGAAUCUAAUAUUACGUGGGGGAUAACGUAGGGAAACUUACGCUAAUACAGCAUACGACCUACGGGAGAAAGCAGAGGAGAUACGGACCUUGCGCGAUUGAAAGAGCCGAUGUCGGAUUAGCUAGUUGGCGGGGUAAAGGCACACCAAGGCGACGAUACGUAGCUGAUCUGAGAGGAUGAUCAGCCACACUGGAACUGAGACACGGUCCAGACUCCUACGGGAGGCAGCAGUAGGGAAUAUUGGACAAUGGGCGCAAGCCUGAUCCAGCCAUGCCGCGUGGGUGAAGAAGGCCUUCGGGUUGUAAAGCCCUUUUGUUGGGAAAGAAAAUCUGCAUGUUUAUCCCCCGCUGUUCUGACGGUACCCAAAGAAUAAGCACCGGCUAACUUCGUG
rnacentral:rRNA from 1 species